AUGCGGCGGGGCUGGAAGAUGGCUCUGUCCGGGGGGCUGCGAUGCUGCCGCCGAGUACUUUCCUGGGUGCCAGUGCUUGUUAUCGUCCUCGUUGUGCUUUGGUCCUACUAUGCCUACGUCUUUGAACUCUGCCUGGUGACUGUUUUGAGCCCAACAGAAAAAGUUAUCUACCUCAUAUUUUACCAUGCCAUCUUUGUGUUCUUUACCUGGACCUACUGGAAGUCUAUAUUUACACUCCCACAACAGCCAAAUCAAAAGUUCCACUUGUCCUAUUCAGACAAGGAACGCUAUGAAAAUGAAGAGAGACCUGAGGUCCAGAAGCAGAUGCUCAUCGAUAUGGCCAAAAAGCUACCAGUUUACACAAGAACUGGGAGUGGAGCUGUUAGAUUCUGUGACCGGUGCCAUUUGAUCAAGCCUGAUCGCUGCCACCACUGCUCUGUCUGUGCCAUGUGUGUAUUAAAAAUGGACCAUCACUGCCCUUGGGUUAAUAAUUGCAUUGGAUUUUCCAACUACAAAUUCUUUCUUCAGUUCUUAGCUUAUUCUGUUCUCUACUGCCUGUACAUUGCUACAACAGUCUUCAACUAUUUCAUCAAAUACUGGAGAGGGGAAUUGCCCAGUGUUCGCUCAAAGUUCCAUGUUCUUUUCCUCCUCUUUGUGGCCUGCAUGUUUUUUGUCAGCCUUGUGAUUCUCUUUGGUUACCAUUGUUGGCUCGUCAGCAGAAACAAAACCACCUUAGAGGCCUUCUGUACUCCAGUGUUUACAAGUGGCCCAGAGAAAAAUGGGUUCAACCUUGGCUUCAUCAAAAAUAUCCAGCAGGUGUUUGGAGAUAACAAGAAGUUCUGGUUAAUACCUAUUGGGUCCAGCCCUGGUGAUGGACACUCCUUCCCUAUGAGGUCUAUGAAUGAAUCACAAAACCCACUGCUAGCAAAUGAAGAGCCCUGGGAAGACAACGAGGAUGAAAACCGAGGUUUUUUGUGCAGGUUUUGUGCAUGAUGUGAGGAAAAUGUUGUUUUAGGAAGAUGAUGAAGUGAUACUCCUAUCGAAGCACACUUCCAUCCUAUGUCAGAGAUUGCCCUAAUUUCUGGACCUUCUGAGAGAAUUGAUUAUCCAGAAGCUUCAUCAUCUCUCACCGUGGAAACAGAAACAUAGCAGUUUACACAUUUCCUGCAUCUCUCAGGACCCUCCAUCUCCCAUGAGGCUUACAGAGUUCAAUGUUGGGAACCAUUUUAAUCUUCAAAAUAAGUCACCAUGGUGGAUUGAAAGCUUCACAAUUUAAAAGCAUUCCAUUAAAUACUUGCUGUGCAGAUAGAUGUUUCAGGACUUUACAAGUUAUUUAAUUUACUAACUGAACUCAUCAAUCUGGUAGCAAUUAAUUCAAGCCAGUCUUCCUCUCUUUCUUCAUUUUACCUCCCAAUCUGUAAAAACCUAAAUGUAACAUAUAUACCUUUCCAGGGGCUCUUUUUAUUCCUCUUCUCAGGUAUAGAGGAAUUAAAAAAACUUCCAUGGAGUCUCUAACUCCCCUAGAAAGAUUGUUAAUUAUAUUUAUAGGGUCUUUGUGGUAUUAAGGGAAAUCAGACUGCUGCUUGUGUGCCUGUGCAUUUAUAAGCACGCAUAUAUGCAGCAUAUUUACACAAAAUUCUGCUGUGGUGUUGUGAAAAUCAAGGUUAAAAAAAUCCAAGGUUUUUAUUCAAUCCUGCUUUUCUCCCUAAAUAGCAAUUUAAAUACUUGCUCGGCUGUCAACACCAUCCCUAUAUCAGAUAUUUAAAAGUCAAGAGGCAUAAUCAACACACCAUAAUCGAGGUCCUCAAAUUGGAAAUUGAACAAUACAAAGCCUGUUCUCUGUCAUAAAUGUGUGAUGUUCCUGAAAGCACCACAACUAAUAGAGAAGAUCAGAUCAGAUUUCCACUUUAUUAAACAUUAAGUAUUGGUGUUUUAAAGACUUUUAAUGUCAGGCUGUAGUAAAAUUCUCCACUUUUAUUAUUUUCUCUGCUACCUAGCUUUAUUUUUACCUAUAUUAAUUGUUCUUAUGAUGAUAGAAAAACCAUAACCCUAAGUUAUGCACCAUAGGUUUUGUUAAGGAGCUUAAGGGUCAUUUUCAGGUUUAAUUACAAUACUGUUCAUAUGGUAAAGUUUCAAAGUUGAAAUUGGCCUAAGGAUUAGCACUCAAGCUAUGUUUUCACAGCAGGGUUUAGUGUAUAGAUAAUGAUAACCUAAUAGUAAUAUGCCAAUACUUUCUUUUUCUUUUCUUCUUUCUAGCUUCAGUGGUAGUUCAGCCAUUAAGACAGUUUACAUUCAUUUCCCCAUUUAUUUAUAAUCAGCCUUUCUUUUAGUCCUAGUGCCUGAAUCAAUGAGUAUGAACACUAAUGCUGAGUCUUUAUAAUAAUAAUACCUAAGAGCAGUGAUGAUUUUCAUUUCUCAGCCACUGUCCUAGUGCCCAGCUGCCAGCAAUAGAAGUCCCAACUCUUACAGAAAUUAUUGAGAGUUAGAGGCAUCUUACAGAUGUCAAGGAGUUGAACUCCUAGAAGGACAUUAGGUUUACUAAGUCAUCCCCCCUAAAACCUUUCUUAGUAAAAGAAAAUUUGCCUACCACAAACUAUUUGGUGUUCAGGUUCCAGUGGAGCUGAGAAAGUGAGCAAUUCAGCUACUUAAAAAACAAAAAACUUGUUUAUUUGGAUCCUCUAGGUGAUUUGGGGCCAGGUGAGACUUUUAGCAUAAAUUAAAUGGAUUGUGCCAGCAUUUCAUUUGAGAAAAUAACUAGACAUGACAAAAUCUAUUAGGGCCAGGGACUGUUUCUCAAACUAAGAUGCUAAGAAGCAACAUAGAAGACUAUACACACCGGGUUUCACAAAUGAAAUCGUGUAUGUUCAGUUGGGAAGAUUUUUCCCCUUCCUCCCUCUCUCUCCAAAACACUCUCUUGUUUAGGUUUUUCUUGAAAGCUUAUUUAGGAAUUCACAUGGUCUUAUGAUGGACAAACCUUGCCUUUUAUUCAUAUAGUAAAGCACCUUUCUCUAAAAAAUAGGGCCAUUACUUAACUCCACAGCCAGUGGGCCUCAAAGAAAUCUUUCCCUUUCUCAUCUAUCAUUUUUUGCCAAGGGUUUAGGCAGGGUAGCUUCUAACUAUGAUUCAAAGUCAGGAAGGAAUCAAUAAAUUCUUUGAUGCAUAGAGUGUAUCAGCACUUGGCACUGAAAUAAAUCAGGUUAUAAAAGACAGUGUCAGAAAACUACAGGGAAGCACUGGAAGGAUAAAGCCCGGGAGAGCUAUAAUGCAAAGCUGAUUGUUUCAUGUCUUACAGACUUACACCAUCUUCAAAAGGCCAAAUAAAUCAGAGUUUCAAGUGGGGGCUUGGAGAAAUAAACCCUAUUCCUAUCUCAGCACCUUUAUUACACUAGUUUAUAGACUCUGAUAAUACCCCUAUCCAUACAUAAUUCAGUACUGACUACUGUACAUAAGCAUCCUGCCCCAAUUGAUUGACUAUUGAUUGACAGAGAGGUUCAUUUAAUAAUUAGUGUAUCCUGAUCUGGCUCCAUUGCCUGUUUUCCUUGGAGCCCUGUCAAAUAACCUCUGUGGGAUCUCAUUCCCCAAUUUUUGGUACCCAUAUUCCCCUUUUGCAAAAUAAAACACUCAUUGUUAGGAUCCUACAACUGAAAGGUGCUAUGUAACUCCCUAGUGCUCUUAUAAGUCUUUCAUUGAAGGACUGGAGUGAAAACUUGAACCAUAACAGUAUUUCUAAGCAAACCAGUGUGCUCCAUUCUUACUUCCAUGCUCUCAUUGCUGACUUGUUCUUGCAGAGUUCAGAUUACUUUAUUUAAGUUAUUCAGUUCAUUCCAACAAUGUCCUUAGAAUAGAAAUCAUUUUCCCCAUGGUACAUCUGGAAAAAUUGAGGCAAAAAAAAAAAAAUGAAGUGGCUUUCAAAAGCACAUAGCUGUCUGGAGCAGACCUCAGUUAUCAUGUCCAGUGCACUAUUAGACUGACUUGGCUUCCCAGUACUGGAAAUAUUGGGGAACAACUUAGAAUAUUGAGAUUAAUUCAGGCAGGAUCACAUUUCAGAAAAGCUCCAAUUCAUCCAAAAUCUAAAAGUAUGCAAUUAAACAACUCUUAUUUUCUAUGUGACAUAAAUGUAACAUGUGUCUCUUUCCCACACGGGUCCCAUGUAACACAUCUAUUUCACACUGUGUGACAUCAGCCAGUGCCAUUAUCUCCUUUAGUACCCAUAGAGCCCAAUCUCAGGGCUGUCUUUGCCAGGGAAAAGAAUGUGCUUCCCCAUGUUUAUGCCAAAUUGCACAAAAGUAUUGUCAUUGAGGUUAAUGGAGAUUAAGCACAAUCCCAAGCAGGUAUGUUUUAAGAAUAUUGAAUGUACAUUAUUGUGACAUGCACCUGAAAUUUAACAUGGCCCCAAUUCAUAGGAUGUAACAGUCAUGCAAAGCCUAUCCCUUUUACUUCUCAUCACACAUAUAUAUCUACAUACAUGUGUGCAUACACAUAUGUACACUACACACUGCCCCCAAAGUAGGCCGCUUGGUCAUCAGGAGCAAGUACUUUAAAGGAAUAAUUCUUUGUCCUCUUUUAGAAAAAGUCCAACACUCACUGCAAGUGAAGAACACUCCAUUUAUUCAUUCUAAAACCUCUACUCCCAGAGUAGCUAUGGUACCAGUUGGUGCAAAAGACAAGAUUGUUAAACCCUUUCACAAGUCCGUGUUCACAAAUGGAAAAUUUAUGCAUUCCAUCCAAUCAGUAGGAAAUGGCUUAUGAGGUAUGGCACAUCUGCAUUUCUUUAACUUUAGCUGUAAGGUACCAUAUUAAGUUGUAGUCUUUUGAAUGCAGGGGUUAUGUAAUAUAAUAAUGAACAGGUGGCUCCUAAUAGCAUGCAACCAACAGCUGUUUGUUUCCCCAGAAGGGCUAGGGCUGUGUCCUGCACAGUGUUUAAAACUAUUAAAUUUGUUCUUUGUAGCAGGCUGGUAUGUGGCCAUUAGCAGAAUGAGUUAAAAUGGACAAUGAAUGCAGUAUAUCAGGAAACAGAUUUUUAGUAGGGAAUGGCAUUGAAUGCGGAAAAAAAAAAAAA